rnacentral:misc_RNA from 1 species
AUAUAAUGAAUUUUUAAUUUUUUUAUAAAUUAUAAUCUAUGUACUGAAUAAAUAUAAUUGGCAAACCGCAAAUCAAAUUGGUGUACCAAUUGAGUCUACUCCUACAUACCUGUAUUUCAUUAAGUGAUGUACCACGAUCCAGAAUAUCGUCCAGGUAACUAUGGGAGAGAGGCAUCACAAAAGGGGUUAGGGACUUAGGGCUGUAUCUAUAUAGAGAUUAAACAGUAGUCUCUUUCUCUAAAAUGACAACACAAAUAUAGGUAUUAAGUAGGGAUAAAUUUUGGUUCGGUUAUAUAUGUAUACAAACCUUAAAUGAACUGAAAUAUCGAAAUUUAUCUAAAAUAUUAGCUGAAACUGAAUCAAUUGAUUGAAUAACUGAACCAAAAAAUUGAAAUAAAUCGGAUCGGUUCGGUUCGGUUCUUGGUUAAAGCUGUAAUCUGCUCAGCUCUAGUUAACAUGCUAUGUGGAUCCUUUGUUUCAGGAUUUUGGAGAUUGAUUCUUUCUUUUUUUUUUUAAAUUUUUAUUUGCAUAAAAAAAACUCUAACAUGUUAUUUAGGUCCUUUG